AUCCUGACUCAGAUUAAGGUUCUAAUUGCUGUGGCAAGAUUCCUGUGAAAUGUUUCCCUAGUCUGUGGGCUGUUUCUUCAGGAAAAACUUGUGAAGAGAACUUGCAAAGACAAGCUAGAAAUGGAUUAAAGGAGCAGGGGAAAAGUCAGAUCCAGGUACAGAUUAAAGUAAUAUAGGAGCAUGUGGUGAUCACAAGCAGUCUUGACAUAAGAGUUGUUAAUAAAAAUGUUCCUUUAGUUCCAGCUGAGUCAGUCUUAUAACUGCUGUCUUCAAGGGUCACAUAGCAAGCUACAGAAGCUUAGCUGUGAGAAGUCAUUUCUGUGAAGAUGCGUGCAAGAUACUGAACCGUAUCAUGUACUGAACUCGAAUAUGCAAGUUUUCAAAUAAGUUUUAAAUGGUGUGAAGUUAGAAUCAGUUUUACAAGUGAUAACAGAAAAAUUUAGAUGAGGCAAUUGUGAGACAAAUGUGUCUAAAGAGCAAGACAGUCCAAAGCUAGUUUUUGAAAACAAAACAAAGCACCUCUUUGAAAUGCAGCAAAAAACUUGUAUUUAACUACAAAAGCAAAUUAACUGUGGCUAAAUCAAAGAAAGAGAUCCAGCCGAAGCUUUUUUUUUUUAACUGAAGAGCUAAAUUGUGGAAGGGAACCUCUUCAAUUUAUUUCAGAAUAUGCACAUUGUUAUUCUGCCCCAUUACUAUGACGGACUGACUGGGAAGUUAGAUGAUACUACUGAUUUAGGCAUGCCCUUAAACCAGGGAGGCAGGGCAGGAGUGUUCCAGUACAUCAUGAGUGGUACUUCAAGAUCAGUUAAUCUUAAAGGUUAUGGUCAAAGCUGUUGCCGUUCUUCUCUUUUCUGCUUUGCAAUGUUACAGAAUACUUCUUGUGUAGGUAACACAUGCUGGUGGCUUGUGUUGUUGGUUAUACUGGUGGAGGAUUAAAAAUCUCUUACAGAAUGUUUCUUUUUAGCUUUCUAUAUAAAUGACACUUAGUUCCAUAGCUUACUAUUUUAUUCUGUGGCUAUUUCCAGAUAAGCAUUUUAACAAGCAUCUGAUUUGUAACAAAUUUCUUUUAUGGUGUGGAAAAAAAAAGUAGGAGGUGCUACGUCAAAAAGCUUUAUAGGCAUUGGAAAAUACUAUUCUGAAACUUUACAUCACAAUUUCUAUUUGAGCUAUAGCUUUUCUGAAACAUCUUUCCAGUUAACUAACUUAUUUUCGUAACAAACAGCAUAUGUAUUCUACUUUCCUGUUUACUUCUGUUGUGUGCUUUGUGUCUUGUAUCUUUUUGUAUUCAUCUGUAGGGAAAUAACACACAGUUUUGGGUGAUGGAAGCACUAGUAAUAUAUGUGCUAGCUUAAAAAAACCUCACAGCUUACUUGUCCUUCAGUUUGGCUGAGCAGAGCAUCUUUUGAGAAAGAUGCAGGUGGGGAGCAUAUCAAGCUAUGCCUACAAAUUUCAAUGCUUAUUAGGCUUAAAGUUUAGAAAUGGAGAGAAAUGUUUUGGCUCAUCUUGUUUGCUUUUGGUAGUACUUUCUGUUUCAGCUUGUCCUAAUUAUCUCAGGGGUGGGAAUUAGACAAGGAAGUUACCUUCCUCAUGAAUGUCAUUCACAAUCUAGUUUUUUUUUAUUAUUAUCUUUAUUAUUUUUGGUAUUAAUAACCUGAAAUUGAGCCUGGAAGUCUGUUUGUUUAAUGUUGUGCCUUACUCCUGGUAAGGUCUUCAGUAAUAGUCAUGGAUAAUCUGCUUACUAAUGGCACAUUUCUAAAUACUUAGAAGAUUAAAUUACAGAUGUUCUGCUGAAGUUUUAGGUCAAAGCUCUGAGAUCACCAGGGUUUUUUUGUUAGCUUUCAUUAAAAGAAAAUGAAUCUAUGUGGCUUUACAGACAUGAACACUCACUUCACAUAGGUGAGGUAGAUAAGAAGUGCUUUCCACGUUUUACAGAUGGGGAAAUCUGAGCAAUUAACUGACUUGCCUGAAGUCAUACGGCCAGUCAGUGGCAGAGCCAAGAAUGGGACCUGAGCUAUUUCCAGUCCUGUGCUCUAACCACUGCACAGCAUCCCUCCCUUAGGUAAUUUUCUGACAUGAUGAUGUUUGUAUUUGGUGUAUGUGGUGACUUUGAGAAGAGUAUGGAACCAGAUGCAGAUGGACAAGAGUCAGGUAAAGAUUGUGACUUCCAUGCAGCAACUCUUAGAUUUGUAAUAAAAAGAUAAACUGUUACAGAGGCAUUAUAUUUGGGUUGCUGCCUUUCAUUGUCGUCCUGAAAAAAUGUUAAAGCUAAUAACAAGGUUAAAAACUCCCAAAGAAUAGGUUCUGAAUCGCAUGUUUUCAGUUUUAUUUUUUUCAAAUUGUGAGAGAUACCCCUGGAAAACCUUUGUCAUUCUUAAUGUCAGGUAAGAUACUUCUUGACAGAUAACUUAAAGACAGAAGUUGGCCAAAUUUAGAUUACUUUUUUUUUUUUUUUUUAAAUGCUCUUGAAUCACUAAUGCCUUCAGAUAGCCUGAAGGCGCAGAGCGGUUCCCUUGACACAAGCAGAUGCCAUGUGUAUUCAAGGAUGAAAUUAGGCUCUAGAAAUGUUUAGGUGUUGCUGUCAGGAGAGACAGCAAUUUUUUUUUUUAAUUUGAAUAUGCUGGGAUGUGAAUUACCCCAACCUAAUUAAUUUUCAAUUACCUUUGUCACCUGUGUCACAGCAUUGGCAGGUUUUGAGACUUGAACACGCCAGCUAGAGCUAGAAUGAGACAGACCAGCAGAGAGUCUAAAACCAGGUUACAUUUCUGACAAAAUCCUGAUAAUAUAAAAUUGCAUUGCGUGGUCUUCCUAGCCAAAACACGAGUUUUUAUGCAGUCUCGGCACUUGGGAACAGAAGGUGGUAUUUAACAGUUUCCCUAUUUAGUAUAUGUUUAAUUUCAGUGGAUAGCAGAUACAAACAAAUAUUGUAAACCAAUAUUUUAAAAAAAAAAGCUAAAAAGAGUAAAGGAAGUUUUUAUCAAAGAUGUUUAUUGGGAUUGUCCAGAGACCACUCCAGCAGUAUUUGUUCUGGUAUACUUGCCAGUUACCAAUUUGUACCUAAAUUUAAGAAGCACAACAAAUGUAUCAGUGUGGAAAUAAUCAGUUUGCUCUAUCUAAUGGGAAUUUUUCCAGUUGCAAGGAGAAACAAUAGAAUCAGAACAAUGUGAAGCAGCAACAGAACAAGCAAGCAGGCAUUGAUUACAGAAUAAUCUCAUCUGUUUUAUUGUCAGAUCUGUUUGUUCUGCACAUUCCGAAAUAGCAUUCAUAACAGACAGCAGUUAUAAGUAUCUGCAAGCAAGGCUGCAGUUUCAGGUGACUGGCACAUCCACAAGUACUUUAGGUGGUAAUAUGGUUGUCUAAAACAGGUGUAAGACAUUUGAAGGCUUUGUAUUGUUGGUGUAUAUAACAAAUACAAUAUUAGCUUAUGGUGCUUAUCCUUUACUCACUGUUGGGCACUGUGUUUUUGAUAACAAUGAUUUAUAAAAAGGCCUUUGAAGGUGCUUGUUCUUGUGAUGUAGCCAGGCACUCCAGGAGAGAAGUCAAGUCUUACUAAGUUGUCAAGCUUACAGAAAAUGAAAGUGUGUAUUAAGCCUGCAAAAAAUAAUUCAAUGAUUCAAAGACUUCAUUUUCUUUAGCACCUACAUGACUGAAAGCUACAUGAUACCAGGCUAUUUAGGAUUUAUAGUUAAGAAUCGUGAAGGUCAGAUUUGGGCAGAGAAAAUAACUUAGCUUGAAGCUGCUGCCCUACAUCACUGUAGCAUUUGCAAGAGUUGUGGGUAAGCUGUAGUCUAACUAGGUUUAAAAGAAAAAUGUGCCAAAACAGUGAAUCACUCAAGAAAUCUCUUACAACUAUUACUCCAACAUUUCUGUAUGUGAUUUUGUCUAGAAGAGCAAGCUGCAGUUCUAGGUAAUGUGAUAAAACAGUCAUACACAGGGCUAGAUGCAGUUCUUGCUGAUCUCACCAGGGAGUUCUUGAGUUUUCCACCAAGGAUUCGUGUACUUUGAAGCCAGACAGCUAAGCCUCACUUCUUUUUGCCAGUAAGUUAUUUCAUUCUAGCUGUGUUCCCUUUUCUUUUUAUAUGCUGGAUCCUGGAAUGCUGUAUGCAUCCUGAAGAAACCUCAAAACCCUUCUGUGUCUAGGAAGUCACUCACACAGGAUCUAUAUUUCCCUUAUUCCCACUGCUGUCUGUUGGUUUUUAGUAAGGAGCUGUCUCUUUGACACUGCUCCUGGCUGUUGUCCCUUGAAGCAGAGCAGGUUUUUGGUUGCUCGCAGCUAAUGGCUGUUGGCAGUAAGGAAUAGGCUUCUGCCCCGUGUGCCUACCUCAGUGCAGGUAAAGCUCUCGAGAAUUACAUGAUGCCCAGUAACAAGAAAUCCAUAAACAAAGUUUAAAGAUCAGGAGAUGCAAAAGUGCAGGUUAACAGCUCCAGUGUUGGGGUCUGGGAGACGUUCUUUAUUUAUUUUGUUGAAUCCAGCCGUAGAAUUGACUCCUUUCUUCCCAUCUGGGCUCUGUUGUGGUAGGAGGCAGUCACUGCUCUGGAGAAUUUUUUGGAAGCAUCAGGAGGGCAUGUCUGAGGCAGGCAAAAGCUGGUUGUGUUUAAAGAGAAGUAACGUACUAAUUCUCCAUAUAAAACUAUGGAAGAAGCACACGGUAUAAGACCAAGAUGGUAUUCAUUCAUUUUAAAAUUACAUGAGUGGCUAAUACCUGUAGUCUUUCUCUCAAGCAGGGAGUAGAUAGCUCUGGACAACUUGAAAAUUAGGUAAUACUAGUUAGGUCAUCCCAAAUUUAGAGAUGUCCAGGAGAAGACUAUACUUCCUGGACUACUCUGAAUUCUUACUCUCCUAUCCCUAGGAAGUAACAUAUAACUAAAUCCAUCUCCCUUUUCUUCUUUCUCUUGCUCUCUGGAAUUGGACAGAUCCUUUUUCUGCUACUGUUGAUAAUGUUGAUGAUGCCAUUCCAAACCUAAAUCCUUUCCUUACAAAAACUAACGAUGCUGCUCAUCUGUCUGUGUCUUCUGAUGUUUCUACUUUCACCAGUAGGACACCCACACAUGAAAUGUUUGUUGACUCUUUUUGUGGUCCUCAAGCUUACCCUAAUGCUUCUCAUUUCCGCAAUGAGCCUUCUUCUGUAGCUGGUCUAUUUGGAGGUAGGUAAUGGGAUUCAGCCUUACCACGAGCACGGAAAUGUGAAUGUGUUGUGUGCCUAGAGCUAGUAGGUAUAUCAUUGGCUACAGAAGUGUGUUAUUACUUUGCCUCCAACUUUGAUUCAUGUAGUAGUGCUUAUGCUAGAUGUGUUGUCACAAGUGAUUUAUCUAUUUUCAGCUCGUGCUAAGUAUUUAGUAUGAGAAAUGAGUAUCUCCCCAUUUCAGGAUUUCCUGUAGUUCCCAUGGUGUCGCACACCACAUGAAAGGCUUCCACAUUUUAAAUACCUUCUCAUCUAACUCAGCCUCACUGUUUUGAAGACAAAGAGACUGGGAUGUUGCUGCUUCUGCCACUUCGGUUGAUAUCCUGCUCAUAAGCAGUGCACUAAACUAGAACAAAGGUUUGCAACAAAACAUGCAAGAGGUCUUUGCUGCAUUAAAUUACCAGUCUAAUCACUUGGGCAGCUGUGUAGUGUCAGCAUAGUGACUUGGCACUGAUGCUAUUUCAGGAAUACCUUGCUGACAGUUGUUAACCAGGCUGUGGACUUUGACAGAUAAUCCAUCUAAACCAGGCAGAAAGAGUGUUCACAUUGCUGCAAUGCCAGGUUUAGGAAUACCUUCAGUGAAUGUUUUGUGGGAGAGUUAAUUCUUAAGCACAUAAAGUUACGUUUUGUUUUACUGUCUUUAAAUAGAAACCAACUGGAGUCAUUUAAUGAAAGGUUAAAUCCUCCAUGUCACUGUUUCCUUUGUUCCAUAUCCAAAAAAUAGAAUAAUUAGUUCCUGUCAAGUCUUGUUUUACUCUCUUAAAGGAGCUCUGUCUGGCCUUUGUACCUUUCCCAGUGUGUAGGUUAGACAACGUGCCCUGGACUGAUGGUUCCUACCAAGAGUAGGAUUAGAUCUUCUCAGAGCCUGACUCAAAGGAGUCCCAUGUAACGUUUUGUCUUCUUGCUUAGCUUUACGUAGCUUGAAACAUCCUAAAACUGUGAGAGCAGGAGGUUUAGCUUGUACCAGCUAAGCCCAUUUUCUUAAAGAAAAAUCAGAGCUAUUUGAAGUCACAUUUUUUAUUGGUACAGGCACGAUUUUAAGAGUUGCAGGACAUCCCAUCAAAGGAAUUCCUAUCUGCAGUUCAGAGUCUCUGAAAUGGCUUGUUACAACCUGACUGGUAUACUUGUCACAAAGAUACUCAUUUUGGUUUGUUAUUUACCCUCUAUCCUCUCCCACAUUACUGCUGCCCUUGUGUUGCUGUAUGCUGGUCAAACUUUUCCUUUGGUUUGUUUUUAAUAUAAGCUGUAUAAUUUCUUAGCAGUGGAUGCCUUUGACUUGUAUGUUCCUUUAAAACAAAUAAGAAGAAAAGGUGAUCCAAAUCAGUCUAGUCUGUGAAGUUUCUGUACAAGGAUAGCACCACAUAGUUACUAAUAGUUAGGUGAAAGCUCACUUAUUUCAGGAGAACAGUAAGAUUGAAAUGAGCUGUCACAGCAAACAACAUGAAAUCUGACACAUCAGUUCAUGGAGAUGUUUUAUUACUAAAUUAUUUGUCACCCUUUCCUUUUAUUUCUCUGUAUCAUCAAAUUUUCUGUUCUCUAACAGAAAAGUUGGUUUUCACGCUGGCAUUGCAUCCCUUGGUGCUUCUCACACAAAAGGAAUAACUACUUCUGUAACUGCCUGAAUGUCGAGAUGUAGAGGCACACAUGUAUGCACGGGCUUGCAUGUGUGGUAUAUGUAACAUCAGAAAUGUGAGUUUAGAAACAGCUCAGCACUCACUUUCAUAUUA